GAUGAACGCUGGCGGCGUGCUUAACACAUGCAAGUCGAACGAUGAAGCCCAGCUUGCUGGGUGGAUUAGUGGCGAACGGGUGAGUAACACGUGAGUAACCUGCCCUUAACUCUGGGAUAAGCCUGGGAAACUGGGUCUAAUACCGGAUAGGAGCGUCCACCGCAUGGUGGGUGUUGGAAAGAUUUAUCGGUUUUGGAUGGACUCGCGGCCUAUCAGCUUGUUGGUGAGGUAAUGGCUCACCAAGGCGACGACGGGUAGCCGGCCUGAGAGGGUGACCGGCCACACUGGGACUGAGACACGGCCCAGACUCCUACGGGAGGCAGCAGUGGGGAAUAUUGCACAAUGGGCGCAAGCCUGAUGCAGCGACGCCGCGUGAGGGAUGACGGCCUUCGGGUUGUAAACCUCCUUCAGUAGGGAAGAAGCGAAAGUGACGGUACCUGCAGAAGAAGCACCGGCUAACUACGUG
rnacentral:rRNA from 1 species